rnacentral:rRNA from 1 species
UAGUUACUAUAGCAAAGAGGAUACACCUGUUCCCAUUCCGAACACAGAAGUUAAGCUCUUUAGCGCCGAUGGUACUUGGUGGGAAGCUGCCUGGGAGAGUAGGACGUAGC